rnacentral:rRNA from 1 species
AGGACGAACGCUGGCGGCGUGCCUAACACAUGCAAGUCGAACGGAGCACUUCUAAGCUUAGUGGCGGACGGGUGAGUAACGCGUGAGGAACCUGCCUUGGAUGGGGAAUAACACAGUGAAAAUUGUGCUAAUACCGCAUAAUGCAGUUGAGUCGCAUGGCUCUGACUGCCAAAGAUUUAUCGCUCUAAGAUGGCCUCGCGUCUGAUUAGAUAGUUGGUGAGGUAACGGCUCACCAAGUCGACGAUCAGUAGCCGGACUGAGAGGUUGGCCGGCCACAUUGGGACUGAGACACGGCCCAGACUCCUACGGGAGGCAGCAGUGGGGAAUAUUGGGCAAUGGGCGCAAGCCUGACCCAGCAACGCCGCGUGAAGGAAGAAGGCUUUCGGGUUGUAAACUUCUUUUGUCAGGGACGAACAAAUGACGGUACCUGACGAAUAAGCCACGGCUAACUACGUG